rnacentral:rRNA from 1 species
UCUAAAAUGGAUUUUUCCCCUUUAGACACCACUUUAACUUGAUGGAUAAAAAUAAGUAUACAAUAUAUUCAAAUAUGGAAUUUAAACAGCUAUAUUAUCCAGUUUAAAAUUUUAAAUAAAAUAGGAAAUUAUAUUUUAGUUAAUUGUUAAAUCGUCUAGGUAAAUUAGGUGCCAGCAACCGCGGUCAUACCUAAUAAACAUGCUUAUAAAUUUAUAUUAAGUUUUAAUUUUAUUUUUAAUAAAAAUUAUAUAAUGUAGUGAAAUACUAGAUAACAGAUAAAUCUUUUUUAAACCGCCAUAGUAUACACCUACAUUAUAAACUAGGAUUAGAGACCCUACUAUUAUAGGCUUACAAACCACUUAAUAAGAACUAAAACAAUAAUGGUUCAAACUUAAAAGUUAUGGCGGCUUAAACAAAACAUUUAGGGGAACUUACCAUAUAAUUGAUAGCCACCAAGCACUACUCUACUUACUUUUAUAAUUUGUAUGCCGUUGUCCUUUUGAAACUUUUGAAAAAUUUCAUGUGUAUAAUUUAUAUAUUAUAAAUAGACAAAUCAAGGUGCAGUUUAUAAGUAAGAAUUAAGGUGAGUUACAAUAACUAGUUGUAUCAGAAAUAAUAAUGAAAUAUUUAUUGAAGAUGGACUUAAAAGUAAUAAAUCAAAUUUAAAUACAGAUUAUAAAUAUAUUUUGUUUAGUGU